GAAAGUGGUUGAUUCCACAACGAGAACAGGAAAAAAGACAAGAUGAGUUUGGAACGUCUUGCGGUGCCCUGAAGUUUAUGGAGAUAUUAAGGCAAAGAGUUACGUCUAUUGCCCUGAAAGGUCACAUAACUCCUAAGAGGAAGAAUUAGAAUUUGGCUGGAAUUUUUGAAAGAAGAAGGACUUUAAACUCAGCCUGUUAUUUUGCACUAGAGCUCUAGCCCAUUUCCACACAAGCUCACCUCAAAGAACUUUACCUCUUUUUUUCAUCCUGUCCUAUUCAAAGCCUUUGGAUCAUUCAAAGGGUUGUGCCUUUGCCACACUUUCUCUUUCAUUACUAAAGUAUUAUGGAGAAGAUAUUUUCACCUGUGCAGCUACUCAAGUGGGGCAUUGAUUUUCAUAAAAUUAUGCUGGCUCAUUCUGCAGACACUUCCUGAAGACCUGUCUAAUGGACCAUGCUGAGGGCUAACCCUCAGUUCUAAGAGACAGCUUCUAACCAGACAUAACUUCCUGGUUAACAAAUAACAAAAAAAGUUAAAUUAUUUCUCCUUGGAGACUCACAGAGACAUAGGGCUCUUUUCAAGGUGAAUACCUCCCAAGCCUGCAUCAGGAAUGUCACACCUGCAGCAAGAUGAAAGGCGGUCAC